UGAAGAACGCAGCAAAAUGCGAUACUUGGUGUGAAUUGCAGAAUCCCGUGAACCAUCGAGUCUUUGAACGCAAGUUGCGCCCGAAGCCAUUAGGCCGAGGGCACGCCUGCCUGGGCGUCACACGUCGUUGCCCCCCCAUCUACUCCUUCGGGAUUGCGGGGGGCGGAUGAUGGCCUCCCGUGCGCCUUGUCGCGCGGUUGGCAUAAAUGCCAAGUCCUCGGCGACGCACGCCACGACAAUCGGUGGUUGCGAAACCUCGGUUGCCCGUCGUGUGCGGUCGUCGCGCAUCGAGGGCUCGAAAAAAUUGUCGGGCUCCGGCUCGGCUUUCAACGCGACCCCAGGUCAGGCGGGGUUACCCGCUGAAUUUAAGCAUAUCAAUAAGCGGAGGA
rnacentral:misc_RNA from 1 species